AUGGUACUCCCUCCGUUCUGAAUUACUUGUCGCAAGUUUGGAUGUAUCUAGAUGUAUUUUAGUUCUAGAUACAUCUAUUUUCUGCGACGAGUAAUUUGGAACGGAGGGAGUAUGAA
rfam:Triticum aestivum genome assembly, contig: Triticum_aestivum_CS42_TGACv1_scaffold_002183_1AL